CUGGAACAGAUAUUCACUUCCAUUUUCAAAUCUGGCAAAUGGAACAAGGAUAAAACAAUUAGUCAAGAUCUCGCAUGAAGCAUUGCUGAGGUUCAGGGGUUCCUCGCCAUGUUGCAUCAGCUUCUCUUUAAUCUGUGAGCACAAGAAGUGUAAAUGAAAAUGGAUGCUUUCCAGACACUUUGUUGUGGCAAACUGCUACACCUGCUACCUUCCAUGUCU